UUCUCGAACCAUGUGCAAGCUCUCCAACUCAGAUAGUGUCUUUGUUUGUAUCUACCCCUUUUGGAGAUUAUCAAACUCCUGGAUUUGCACUGCAAAGCAUACCCUGAGACAACGACCUCGAGCACAUUGAAUCGGUUCCUAGACAUGAGGUGAGCCGAGCUGAAGACACCGGUGAGUGGAGAGGAAGCAGAGAUUGAAGACAACCCAAUUGAGAAACGGACCUUAAAAGUUUAAAAGCACAAAAAUUUUGGUGAAUUUGAAGGCAACCCAAUUUGUU